rnacentral:rRNA from 1 species
UACGUAGGGGGCGAGCGUUGUCCGGAUUUAUUGGGCGUAAAGAGUUCGUAGGCGGUUCGAUAAGUCGGAUGUGAAAUCUCCACGCUCAACGUGGAGGGGCCAUUCGAUACUGUCGUGACUCGAGUCCGGUAGGGGAGUGUGGAAUUCCUGGUGUAGCGGUGAAAUGCGUAGAUAUCAGGAAGAACACCGGUGGCGAAAGCGCUCUGCUAGGCCGCAACUGACACUGAGGGACGAAAGCUAGGGGAGCGAAUGGG